UAUGAAAAGGCUGAAGACCCAGAACAGAGCACAAUACUGACUAUAUCUACCAAACCAAGCCAAACUGAUUAGUACCUGGAUGAGAAUCUGGCAGAUGCAGUAAAAGAUGCAUAUUGUCUUGAAUUCUCGGAA
rnacentral:lncRNA from 13 species